GACAGAGGGUGCAAACGUUGUUCGGAAUUACUGGGCGUAAAGCGUGCGCAGGCGGCUUUGCAAGACAGAUGUGAAAUCCCCGGGCUUAACCUGGGAACUGCAUUUGUGACUGCAUGGCUAGAGUGCGGCAGAGGGGGAUGGAAUUCCGCGUGUAGCAGUGAAAUGCGUAGAUAUGCGGAGGAACACCGAUGGCGAAGGCAAUCCCCUGGGCCAAUACUGACGCUCAUGCACGAAAGCGUGGGGAGCAAACAGG
rnacentral:rRNA from 1 species